GGAAGUAAAAGUCGUAACAAGAUCUCCGUUGGUGAACCAGAGGAGGGAUCAUUACAGGACUCGCAAGACUCCUUCACCCUGUGAACCUCACUACAAGCACGUUGCUUCGGCGGGUGUCCCGGCGGGGGUUUUCCCUCGCCGGGGCGCACAGCCCGCCGGCAGCCUACUAUACUCUGUCUCUUUGCGUUGGCAUCUCGAGAAAAAACAAACAAGUUAAAACUUUCAACAACGGAUCUCUUGGUUCUG
rnacentral:misc_RNA from 1 species